rnacentral:lncRNA from 1 species
CUGGAAUCAAGCUGUGUGAUACUGACCUCACAGGCUCUGUGGUUCUGACUUGGGACAGGGUAAAGCUUGCCAUGGACAACAUCUCAAUACCACUGUCUAGAAGCAUGUCAUCCCAUGUGUCCUGUGGAUCAGCUGUGCUUCCUACUGCGUUCCUCUGGGACAGAAUGAAAAUGGGGUCAAGCUAUGACAGACUGACACACUAACCCUUGUGUCCAGUCCUGGCCCUGCACUGCCUCGAGUCAGAACCCCAGCCUGGAAUGGCCCACAGAAUAGCAUGAUGGUCCAGUUUGGCUUGGCUCUAGUGUGCCAGUGUGAAAAGACCAAAAGAUGGAUUCAUACAAAACCUCACUGGCACUGCUGCUACUAGUUUUACUACUACUGACUAUGAAUAAUUAGAAAAAUCGUGGUGGACUCCUA